rnacentral:tRNA from 1 species
GGCAGGGUAGCUUAGUGGUAAGAGCUCUGAAUUUUUGAGUCAAGGGACUUGGGUUGGAAUCCCAGUUCUACUA